rnacentral:tRNA from 1 species
GGAUGUAGCUCAGUUGGUAGAGUGCUUGCCUUGCAUGCACAAGGCCCUGGAUUCAAUCCCCAACACCA